rnacentral:rRNA from 1 species
AACGAACGCUGGCGGCAUGCCUAACACAUGCAAGUCGAACGAUGCCUUCGGGCAUAGUGGCGCACGGGUGCGUAACGCGUGGGAAUCUGCCCUUGGCUUCGGAAUAACAGUUAGAAAUGACUGCUAAUACCGGAUGAUGUCCCCCUGAGAGAUCUUGGGGACCAAAGAUUUAUCGGCCAGGGAUGAGCCCGCGUAGGAUUAGGUAGUUGGUGGGGUAAAGGCCUACCAAGCCGACGAUCCUUAGCUGGUCUGAGAGGAUGAUCAGCCACACUGGGACUGAGACACGGCCCAGACUCCUACGGGAGGCAGCAGUGGGGAAUAUUGGACAAUGGGGGGAACCCUGAUCAAGCAAUGCCGCGUGAGUGAUGAAGGCCUUAGGGUUGUAAAGCUCUUUUACCAGGGAUGAUAAUGACAGUACCUGGAGAAUAAGCACCGGCUAACUCCGUG